rnacentral:tRNA from 1 species
UCCCUGCUGGCUCAGACAGUAAAGCAUCUGCCUGCAAUGCAGGAGACCCAGGUUCGAUCCCUGGGUUGGGAA